GCGGUUGUAGGGGAGCAGGCCGUCCCCGCCUCCCUGUCACGGAGGAGACCACGAGUUCGAAUCUCGUCUACCGCG
rnacentral:tRNA from 1 species